rnacentral:rRNA from 1 species
GACGAACGCUGGCGGCGUGCCUAAUACAUGCAAGUUGAGCGCUGAAGGUUGGUACUUGUACCAACUGGAUGAGCAGCGAACGGGUGAGUAACGCGUGGGGAAUCUGCCUUUGAGCGGGGGACAACAUUUGGAAACGAAUGCUAAUACCGCAUAAAAACUUUAAACACAAGUUUUAAGUUUGAAAGAUGCAAUUGCAUCACUCAAAGAUGACCCCGCGUUGUAUUAGCUAGUUGGUGAGGUAAAGGCUCACCAAGGCGAUGAUACAUAGCCGACCUGAGAGGGUGAUCGGCCACAUUGGGACUGAGACACGCCCCAAACGCCUACGGGAGGCAGCAGUAGGGAAUCUUCGGCAAUGGACGAAAGUCUGACCGAGCAACGCCGCGUGAGUGAAGAAGGUUUUCGGAUCGUAAAACUCGGUUGGUAGAGAAGAACGUUGGUGAGAGUGGAAAGCUCAUCAAGUGACGGUAACUACCCAGAAAGGGACGGCUAACUACGUG